rfam:Triticum aestivum genome assembly, contig: Triticum_aestivum_CS42_TGACv1_scaffold_373961_5AL
UGGCAGUGAUUUGAACCUAACCCGUGCUUUUGAUUAAUUCAUGAAGGACAAGGGAAAACAUGGUUAAAUUUCUUAAUAUGAGACA